rnacentral:rRNA from 1 species
ACGAACGCUGGCGGCGUGCUUAACACAUGCAAGUCGAACGGAAAGGCCCCUUUGGGGGUACUCGAGUGGCGAACGGGUGAGUAACACGUGAAUAACCUGCCCUUGACUUCGGGAUAACUUCAGGAAACUGGGGCUAAUACCGGAUAGGAAUCCUUGCUGCAUGGUGGGGGUUGGAAAGCUUCGGCGGUUUUGGAUGGACUCGCGGCUUAUCAGCUUGUUGGUGGGGUAGUGGCUUACCAAGGCUUUGACGGGUAGCCGGCCUGAGAGGGCGACCGGCCACAUUGGGACUGAGAUACGGCCCAGACUCCUACGGGAGGCAGCAGUGGGGAAUAUUGCACAAUGGGCGGAAGCCUGAUGCAGCAACGCCGCGUGCGGGAUGACGGCCUUCGGGUUGUAAACCGCUUUCAGCAGGGGCGAAGCUUGUGGUGACGGUACCUGCAGAAGAAGCACCGGCUAACUACGUG